UUUUUAUUGGAUGAUAACUGUCACGUGUCAUGUUCUGAUUAAAUGUCAACUCCAUGAAAGAUGAAAUGCAUUAUUGUUUCUAUUGACCAAUCAGAACAUGACACGUAACAAUCAUCAUCU
rfam:Glycine max cultivar Williams 82 chromosome 15, whole genome shotgun sequence.